UACGGAGGGUGCGAGCGUUGUUCGGAAUCACUGGGCGUAAAGAGCUCGUAGGUGGUUUGUCGCGUUGUUCGUGAAAACUCACAGCUUAACUGUGGGCGUGCGGGCGAUACGGGCAGACUAGAGUACUGCAGGGGAGACUGGAAUUCCUGGUGUAGCGGUGGAAUGCGCAGAUAUCAGGAGGAACACCGGUGGCGAAGGCGGGUCUCUGGGCAGUAACUGACGCUGAGGAGCGAAAGCGUGGGGAGCGAACAGG
rnacentral:rRNA from 1 species